rnacentral:snRNA from 1 species
AUCGUUCCUCAGCCUUUUGGCUAAGAUCAAGUGUAGUAGUAUCUGUUUUUAUUCGUUUACUAUCUGAUGUGUCCUCUCUUCAAGGGCAACAUAUUAAAUGAAUUUUUGGAGCAAGGAGUUGGAAUAGGAGCUUGCUCUGUCUCUUUCCACACAUUGACCUGGUAUUGCAGUACCUCUAGGAAUGGUGUAUCCCUU